UACGGGGGGGGCAAGCGUUGUUCGGAAUUACUGGGCGUAAAGGGCUCGUAGGUGGCCAACUAAGUCAGACGUGAAAUCCCUCAGCUUAACUGGGGAACUGCGUCUGAUACUGGAUGGCUUGAGUUUGGGAGAGGGAUGCGGAAUUCCAGGUGUAGCGGUGAAAUGCGCAGAUAUCGGGAGGAACACCAGUGGCGAAGGCGGCACUCUGGGCCGGAACUGACGCUGAGGAGCGAAAGCGUGGGGAGCGAACAGG
rnacentral:rRNA from 1 species